AGCGAACGCUGGCGGCAGGCUUAACACAUGCAAGUCGAGCGGGCAUCCUUGUGGUGUCAGCGGCAGACGGGUGAGUCACGCGAGGGAACGUGCCCUUCGGUUCGGAAUAACUCAGGGAAACUUGAGCUAAUACCGGAUACGUGCGAGAGCAGAAAGGUUUAUCUGCCGAAGGAUCGGACCGCGUCUGAUUAGCUAGUUGGUGUGGUUAUGGAUCACCAAGGCGACGAUCAGUAGCUGGUCUGAGAGGAUGAUCAGCCACACUGGGACUGGGACACGGCCCAGACUCCUACGGGAGGCAGCAGUGGGGAAUAUAGGACAAUGGGGGCAACCCUGAACCAGCCAUGCCGCGUGAGUGAUGACGGCCUUAGGGUUGUAAAGCUCUUUUCUCCGGGACGAUAAUGACGGUACCGGAGGAAUAAGCCCCGGCUAACUUCGUG
rnacentral:rRNA from 1 species